rnacentral:rRNA from 1 species
ACAUGCAAGUCGAGGGGCAGCAGGGAUAGCAAUAUUCGCUGGCGACCGGCGCACGGGUGCGUAACACGUAUACAAUCUGCCUUUUACUGGGGGGUAGCCUUUCGAAAGAGAGAUUAAUACCCCAUAAUAGAUUUCUCGGCAUCGAGAGAUUUUGAAAGUUCCGACGGUAAGAGAUGAGUAUGCGUCUGAUUAGCUAGUAGGUGAGGUAACGGCUCACCUAGGCCACGAUCAGUAGGGGAUCUGAGAGGACUAACCCCCACACGGAUACUGAGACACGGAUCCGACUCCUACGGGAGGCAGCAGUAAGGAAUAUUGGACAAUGCCCGCAAGGGUGAUCCAGCCAUGCCGCGUGCAGGAAGACGGCCCUAUGGGUUGUAAACUGCUUUUAUACAAGAGAAAACCCAUCUACGUGUAGAUGGCUGAUAGUAUUGUAGGAAUAAGCAUCGGCUAACUUCGUGCCAGCAGCCGCGGUAAGACGAAGGAUGCAAGCGUUAUCCGGAUUCAUUGGGUUUAAAGGGAGCGUAGGCGGUCUUAUAAGUCAGUGGUGAAAGCUCCUCGCUUAACGAGGAAAUUGCCAUUGAUACUGUAGGACUUGAGUACAGUUGCCGUUGGCGGAAUAUGACAUGUAGUGGUGAAAUACAUAGAGAUGUCAUAGAACACCGAUUGCGAAGGCAGCUAACGAAACUGUAACUGACGCUGAGGCUCGAAAGUGCGGGGAUCAAACAGGAUUAGAUACCCUGGUAGUCCGCACUGUAAACGAUGAUUACUCGCUGCUAGAGGGCAACUUUUAGUGGCUUAGCGAAAGCGAUAAGUAAUCCACCUGGGGAGUACGCCGGCAACGGUGAAACUCAAAGGAAUUGACGGGGG